GAUGAACGCUGGCGGCGUGCCUAAUACAUGCAAGUCGAGCGAACGGACGAGAAGCUUGCUUCUCUGAUGUUAGCGGCGGACGGGUGAGUAACACGUGGAUAACCUACCUAUAAGACUGGGAUAACUUCGGGAAACCGGAGCUAAUACCGGAUGAUAUUUUGAACCGCAUGGUUCAAAAGUGAAAGACGGUCUUGCUGUCACUUAUAGAUGGAUCCGCGCUGCAUUAGCUAGUUGGUAAGGUAACGGCUUACCAAGGCAACGAUGCAUAGCCGACCUGAGAGGGGGAUCGGCCACACUGGAGGUGAGACACGGUCCAGACUCCUGCGGGAGGCAGCAGUAGGGAAUCUUCCGCAAUAGGCGAAAGCCUGACGGAGCAGCGCGGCGUGAGUGAUGAAAGUCUUCGGAGCGGGAAGCUCUGUUAUUAGGGAAGAACAUAUGUGUAAGUAACUGUGCACAUCUUGACGGUACCUAAUCAGAAAGCCACGGCUAACUACGUG
rnacentral:rRNA from 1 species